CUAUACAAAUCUUGGAAACCUAAAAGGGUUGCAGACUUAAACUUCUUUUCUGCUCAUAAGAGAUCUGGCAUUUACAUAAGUUUUUCAGACACUGUUUUUACCCUUCAAAAAUCAUCAGUAUCUAGGAAAUAAUUCUUGAUAAAACAACGUAUGCUCUUUCAUUGAUUUGUUUUCUUCAGUAUGCCUAAAAUGCUGCUAGCCAGCUUGUUAAAACGCCAAAACUCUGUUACAAAAAUGAUGAGGGAAGUAUAUGCAGGAUAAAAAAGGAAUGCCAGGCAUUUGUUCUUACUUGCUUGCUUUUCAUCUUCAUUUCAGACAGAUAAUAAUGUUGUUUCUAUAUUCAGAGAAAAACGCACAAAAGCAUACCCUUUUCAGUCCUCUCCAGGACCAGCCAGCCCCAUCAACAUCAUGAUAAAAAUGGCACUUCAGUUUCCACAUAACUUUAGUUUGUAACCUGUCUGCCUGUAACUUUUUCCCAUCCUGUCAAUUUGUGACAAGAUGGAGGGUUUUUUGUGUGCCAGAAACAGAUAUCGUCUAACUCAUUUGACAACAUUUUUAGCCUGAGUGGUAACAUUCAAAAAGGAGCUCAGAAGAGGAAUGGGCCUUAUCAUAUGGCCUGUCUCCACAGGAUUCAGCACAUGGUGAUGUGACUGAAUUCAAACACAAAGGGCACAGGGUGGGAUGAAGCAAAUGUACUGCUGUAUUUCCAACUCCAGGUAUGUGAAUUAUCUCAGCCAAGACUUAGAUUUAAUUUGCCCUUGAAGUUUAGAAUUGAAUUUGUUUAUACACUUAAUCUGCUGUAUGCUCAUAUACUUUCAAUCUUUCCAUUUCUGCUAAUCAGCCAGAGUGUGUUCCUAACACUGAGUUCUGUGGCAUUCGGUCGGUCUGGAUUAUUGUUAUGUGCCUUUUAUUUGACACAACUGGCUUUAAUUUAACCUACUGUUUUUGUAGGUAUUUUUGUAUUGCUGCCACUAGUUUUGUAGACACAAGCUUUAGUUUUGAGCUCUCCCCACAGUUUGAGCUCGAGCAAACAAAAACAACAAAACAAAAAUGAGAAAAAAUGCAUUUCUCAGCAUUACAAAUCAGCAAUAGAAAAUAAGCAUUUAAAAACAUCAUUUUCCUUAAAGCCAUGAAAUAAAAACAAAAAAAAAAAUCAAAGCCGUCUGGGUUGGAACCUUCUUUUGCCGCCAAUAUCUGAUUUCCUUUGCCAGUGUUCUCUGAUUGCAAAUGGUACCACAAGGACUAACAACAAUGUGCACAAUCUUGCUGAAAAUUUAACUGAGAGAUGCUACUACCUCUUACUCUGAUGAAGCGGACUACUGCACCUUCUGUGUUUUCUCCAUAGUCUCCAUAUAGUCUCAAGUAUUUUUCCAAUCUAAGUUAAGGUACUUCCCACAGUAGGGUUGUUUCAACUCCCUAAGGAGUAAGGGAGUUUCUGGGAGCUUUUGGAAGUGCAAAGCCCCUUCCCUCUUACAUCCACCCCAUAAAUCUGGCUGUGUCCAAGCUGUGCCCUGUACUCUACUUUCCUGGCAUCCUCUCUGUUUGUUCACUCUUUGGAGCCCAGCGGGCACCCAGUUUAUUUAUUUUCUUUGGAUGACACUUCUAAAUGUUGGCAACUCUGUGCAAAGCGCUAUCAUUGCUUAACAUCAACACCUCUCCAAGCUGGUAAAGGGAAAAGGGUGUGAUUUCUCAUCUUCAUAUUCAUCACCCUUUUUUUGUCCAGAGGGAUUAAGCAGCAAGCAGAUGGGUGGGAGUAUCUAAUGCUUUACCUUUCCAGGAAAGCUCUCAUACAACAGGAAUGCUGUUGUCAUUCAUGGUGGAAAGACCUGAAGCGAAACCUAAACAUCAUGCCAACAUUAAUAUGUUCUGAUUUGCAUUUCAUUUCAGGUAAUUUUUGAUACAGAGGACAUGUCUUUUCCUUGUCUUCACAUGGACAAACCAAGCACAUUCCCAAGAAAUGCCAUGUCGACUUGAACUGUUACUGUAUGCUCCUGGGAAUGCAGUCAGUUGAGUUCUCUUGAGUAACAGAUGAGCUAGCAAUGAGAUUUUAGCUGGAUUCUUAUGGAAAAAAGGCUUAUGCAACCAGGCUGCUUGUGUGCAUGCUUGUCUGCUCCAGCCUCAACGCAAACCAGCUUUCAACAUGGCAGAGGAUUUCAAUCAGACUUCAUAGAGGAUCGAAUACACAAAAAUGUUACUUUCUCACAUGUUUAAUGAAAACGGGUGAACUGACAGAUGAAAGAAACUAUGUGCAAAUCUGUGCUGCAGAAAAGGCACAGCACGCAACGUGAGAACAUGGAGAGGAUAGAAACCUUCUGGAUGCCAACGCUGAAGGAAAAAGCUUCAGACUGAGCUCUGACCAUCUUAAGAAACCAAAGCAGGAAAUGAAUCCAGAAAUGCAAGUCCAAGGUUUUUUUCCGCUGCUCAGUGAGUUACUUGAUAAUUAAAAUCACACCAAUUCUCCACUCACACAGUAGUCCUGCAUUUUUUUAAUUGCUAACUUUAUAAGCAAGGAACAGGACUUGGAGAACAGGGUAACCAAUAUCCCUUUGGAGUCAGCCAACGAAUAGCAAGCUGUCAGGCUGUCAAAUACCCUUGCAAAAUGUGAGGCAACAACCGCCUUAAAAUUGCAGUAAACAGUGCAGCAGAAACACCUGCCAGCCGCUAAGCGGGCUCACCACAAUGCCACUUCCUGCCAAGCUGGGCAGCAGGGCCUUGUUUUGCAUUUGCCUGGCACUUCCAAGAACUCCAGGGGCCCCAGCAACCAAUUCCAACUGCAUUUCAAUACAUUCUGCAUGUUUUGCAUUUUAUAAAAAUUAACCCACACAGUUCCUGUAGUAAUCUCAAAUCACUGAUGGUGAUAUCCAGCACUGGCUCCCAACCUCAACUUUAAAAAAACAGGCAUCCUAAAGUUGUCAGCUGUGCCUCACUGCCCCCUCUCACACAGAGAGUGUGGACCCUCAGGAGUUCUCAGGAGUGAGAAGAAUGACAUCCCAGAGUUCAGCAAUUUUGUAUUCACGGUGAAAUUUUGGGGAGCAGGUGUCAAGGAGCUCCAGGCUGCUCCAUAGAGAACUUUCCCCAGAGACUAAAUGUAGAAACUAUGGAAAUGGUCUGGGUCACGGUGUUUCCAGCGCGUUGCAUAUUUUCACAUCCAUCAAAACAAGUUUAUUUAAAGUACAACUAUUCAAGACCUGGAAUACGCACAAAAAAAUUCCCACAGAAAUUAAGGAAAGUAAAAAUUCCAAAUAUUAUUCAACUAUGAUUUUAAUUAAUGGAAAUAUCAAGAGCAGAAUCUUUCCUAAAUUAUGUGACUUCAAAAAAACCUACGGAAACAUGGAUCUCCAAACUUCCAGCCACCGAACUUGUGGGUGCCUGCUCAGCAGGUUUCUCUUCAGCCUGCCUGCUGCUCAAUCCACAGUAGAGAAGUUUACUAUAGACACACAAAUGGAAAAAGCCAGAAGCACGGGACCUGAGCAAGAAGGUGGACAACAGAACAGGCAGGUGGGCAGAAGCAUGAAGCAAAGCAGUAUGGAGAUGGCAGCUGUCUGAUCCCCUGCGCCUAUAAUGCAGCAGGACCAAUAGGUUUCUGUGGCACAUCCUUGUGGUCCUCCUAAUGAAAUGACCCAUAAUUGAGAUUAUUAAGUUUGUGAUAACAAAAGUUGCCAAACAUUAUUUUCCCAGAACUCAAAACUGAAUGAUGCUUGAUUGGUAUUUCAAAACAUAACAUUAAAAAAAUAAUAAAUCACCAAAUCUACAGCUUUUAGGUUAUUUUCUUGAUCCAAGAAAUACACGCUACAGCAGGACCUGGCAGUAAAAACAUAAGAACAUUUAAGGGCACAUUUUUGUAUGAAUAUUUUUUAUGUCAAAAGCAUAACCUCAAAAAACUCCUUCAUGUUUAAAAAUGUGACUGCUUUAAAUGAAAAGUUAGUGCUUGCUGCGCUGGCUUCUCAAGCUGUUAUUUUAUGCCUUAAGCCAAAUUUAAAAGAAGCAAACCCAGAGUGUAACAUCAGCUUGUCUUCACUUACAGCCUUGUUUCAUUUGCAUUCUUUCAACAAGGAGCUGUGAAACAUUAAGCAACCUGAAUAAUAUUUCUGACUUGUAACAGCAACUUGGACGUGAAUUAUCCUCUGAUUACUCCCAUUACAACAAGGCUUCUUUAUCUUAAAAGUAUUCUGAGUGCAGAUAAAAUUAAAUGAGUUAAAAGUACUACCAUUAAACACAAAAAUACUACUACACUCACUCAUCAUUUGUAAGUCCAAACAUAUUGUAUAUUUACGUAAAGUCCAUAGAUACUGUAAUCAGUAGCUGGACCAUGUGUUUUUCAUUAGAAGUCUUUAAGAUAAAGCACCAAGGUAGAAAAAUUAUAAUUAAAUAUUGAUAUAGAAUUACAUAUGAAGGGAAUCAUCCACUUUUUUUUUUUUCUUUUUCUUUUUACUGUGUGCUAGAGAAUUGAGUACACUUCUAAAACAUUAUUUAGGUACACAAAGCUUCAGGCAGAAGCACACAAAUAACAUAUGGAGGAAUGAGAUCCUGCUGGGAUUUCUGCACCAACAGUGGGAUUGAAGGGGGAGCCCGGACGAGCCAGCACAAUGGCAGCUGGCUUGCUAAAAGUUUGCAAAUAUUGAUCGUUCCAUAGUAUAGAGCUACGUUUGCAGUAAUAAGGGAUAAGACACGUGCCUUGAUAACAGAGAAAGCCAGUCCCCUUGAUGUACACUGCAAGCCACGUCGUGUGCUGCAGCCAGCCGGGACACCGGUUAUUAGGCUCUGCUGUAGGACACAGUAGCAUGAUCCUUGGCUCCCUUACAACAAGGGCAUUGGGAAACACUAGAAUGCAAACUGAAAGUAUUACUAAGAACAUAGAAGUCUGAGUCUAAAAGAGGGUGAAAUGUAUGCUUACAUACACAGUUCCCAUGGUUUUAAAUCACAGUGCUCUUGCUCACCAAGUUUCAGAAGCCACCCCCCGUUCAUCAACCUUUUUGCAUUUCUGGAGAGCUGAAGGCAGACAAUGAAAGGUUAAAGCUAGGAGUCUGCCUGAAAAAUUCUUUAACAGCUUCUGAAGUUUUAAAGCAGCAUUCAUCAGUAUUUCUACUCACUCUCCACCUUUCAGAUUCUCAGCUCUAUUUUGUACUUUUAAUACUGAACUAUGCUCCUCAGAGCACCAUCCAGACCAAAGAAAUCUUUCUGUUAGAGUAUCAACCUUCCUUUGUGAAUGCAUGAAAAACACAGUAAGAACUCUCUAGUAGGAGACCCUCUGCUCUUCUGCACAUUGGUCAUCUGCAAAGAGAAGAGGGGAAGUAAAAAAGGGAAGUUGGAUGGAGAAUGAAGUUGGAUGGAGAAUAAAGAUGGCUGGGAAAUUUUGGCAAAACUUUCUCCUGAAAGAGAGAUUCAAAAGCAUCAAAAACUUUCAUCAAACAGAAGUGAUUGAUUUUCUUCUUCCUUCACAGGAAUGUUGAGGAGUCCAUGAAGCCCUUUGAUGAUUUCAGGUGAAAAAGUCUUAGUGAAGUAAGGCUCAACACACUUUUUAAAAAGUACAAAAUGGAUAAUGCUGAAGCACAGCAUUUGUCUAAGUCAUACUCUUACAUUCAAUUUGAGAAACAGUGGAAGCCACCUCAUUGUAGCUGGGACGGAGUUUUUUAAAUUCUACAUUUCCACAAUGCAAAAUCCAUUCUCUGUCACCAUUGGCUAGCAAUCUCCCCUUCCACAAUAUGUCCCAGGACACACCCCAAAGUCAGUUAUAGGUAUUUCUGAGUAUGCCUAUAUGGCUUAGGAGAAGGGCAGGAAGAGGUCUCUCACACACUCUGUUUCUGAACAUCAAGAUUAAGCCUGGUUACAGUUUAGGGAACAGUUUAUCUCUGAGAAUUAAAUGGAUGUAGUUGCAACAGAUCAGCUCCUGUCAUGCUACAGCAUAAACCAUACACACACAACUAUCAGACACAAUCAUACAUUUCUCACUAGUCAUAAAACAUAUUGUUUAAGUUCCACAUUAAAAAAAAAAAACACAAAUACCAUUCUGGUGGACUGCAAUAGUCCUCCAUUUCUUUUGGAUACCUGGGACCAAACAAACCUCAUCCAGACUACAUCAAGGGGUUAGUGGGCCACCAUAUCAUGUCUAGAAGAGGCCCACAGUCAAGUACAAGGCAGGAGAGAAGCAACAUGUCAGCUGUGGUGUAAGUUGAUUAUCCAGUGUGGAAAGGAAAAAGCAUUACUUCAUCUUGUGAUCGGGAGCUGCUGUGUUCAACUGCAUCUUUGUACAAACGUACAUUUGCACAUACAAAUAAAACCUCUAAGUUAAUUGUAUGGGUGCAUGCUAAGGUGGUUGCAAUCAAUUCACUUGGUGCUUCCACCACUGGAGAGAGUUAAUUCUGGUCUGCAUUCUGCACGAAGCAUAACAUAGCAUAUACAUUAAACCACAGUUAAAGACACUCAUACAGCACUGGCACACCUAGCCACUGUAUGUCUGGUAGAUCAAAAGAAAAACAACAUCAGAAACGCCCAUUUCAAAAGAUACACAGCAAGGGAUAAAUACUCCCUCACGUCAGUAUUAUUUUAAGAAACUUACUGUGUAUGAUUUUCAAAAUGAUAUCUUUAUAAAAAGUAGUGGAAAGAUUUCCUCCAUUUUUAAAAAUAAACCAAGAAACCACAGCAAUUUCCUGAAAUUUCAGCUUCAGCUUUACACUUCUGUUCCUUGUGGUUCCAGUGUUAAUUCAUUUUUCCAUUCUUGAUAACUAAGAUGCUGUUCAUACUAUUCAGUGAAUUUUCAGAAACACAUUUACCUCUGUCAUCUAUUUAAGCAGACUAUAAAAUGUAUUUUAAAUUAAUGAAACUUAAUUACCUAGCAUUCACUAUUUAAUACAGUUCUGUUGCAUAUUUAUGUUAAUUCUAAUUUUAAUUCUAUGUAAUUAAAAUUAUAACCUUAAUUGUACGUAAGGUUUGGACAAUGCCCUCAAUAAGAUACUGCAACUGUUGGUUUGCCCUGAAGUGGUCAGGCAGAUGGACUACAUGACCUUUGAAGUUCUCUAUUCCUACUAUGCUAUUUCUAUUACUAAAAAUGAAGCAGAUAAAGCAAUGGUAGAAAGAUAAAUCUAUAAAUAGAUACUGGUUUCUACCUUAGAAGGUUCUAAGAGUAGAGUUCUCUUAGGAAACAAUAUUUUCAGCACACGGAGGUGUGGGAUUUUGAGCUGUGAGAAUUGAUGUAUUUCUUAUAUUUCAAAUAAAUCAAUAUUAUAAACUGCUCUGCUUAAUUGCUUACAGGUGUAUCUCAAUUAAAACCCAUGAGGAUUUUACUGCAUUAUUUACACACAAGUAAUUAAGCACAUAAUCACAUUUCAAGCAGUUUAAACUCAAACUGUUCUAUAGAGCCUUACACUCCUAAUAAAAAGAAAUAUUUAUUUCAUAUCAUUUUCAGUAAGACAGUUAAAUCACUUCCUUCUGCUGGGGACAGACCCAAACCCAAUUGUUAGGAGCCAAAAAUUAUCAGCAGUGCAUAAUUUCUAUAUCCCCUAGAACACAAGCAGCUGUUUUCAGCCUUGUUUUCAGUUGGCAUCUAGAGGCAGUGCCACUAAUUAGCACACUUUUCUAGCAAGCUGAUCAUGCAAAAGAGGCUACAGAAACAAAACUCUCUUUCAAAGCAAUGCCCAAGGACUGCAGAAAAGUAGCACAGAAAUUUGUGGUCUUUAAUAACAAGGCUGGUUCUAUAUAGGACACCUGAAUUUCCAGGAACGUCCAAGCUGGCACAUUUCAUAUGUAUAAAAGUUGUAAUUUUUAAAAAGCUGCAGGAUCUCAUCUUUACCAAAAAGAUCAUCAGAAUGAGUGCAAUCAUAAUUUGGAGUUAAAUGGCUUUAUUUUUUUUCCAAAGAAUUUUUAAUCCCUUACUUGCAUUUUUGCAUUGUGUGUGCCUGGAAAGUUGCAUAAAGUGUGUUGCUUCAGGGCUGCACCUAAUUAUAUUGGGCAUCCAGAAAUAGGUGCAUCUGACUCAGAAUUUCUGCAUGCUUUGCCAGCCAAUCAAACCAUAAGACAUGCAAGCUAUGGUUAAAUUAAGCAAUAAGACACCGCAAGCUGCAAGUUGUGACUUAUCAGCACACAACACACCGCAAGGAAGAUCACAACAGGAAACAGUUUUAAGGUAGUAGCUGUCCUCAGCGCAGCUAAGAAUAUCAUCAUUACUGUGGCUUUGUGCACUCCGAGUCAGAGGACCUACUAUGCUAACCCUGAACAUCACAAGAGAGGACAAAACAUAAAAUUAGGUCUAGGAACAAAGUCCAGGCUGAAGACAGAGGUUACAGAACUGCAGCAGUGAGCACUCAGAGCAUCUGCUGAGCCCAGUCCUAAGGGUGCUGCAGGAGCUGAGACAUGGGGAGACUGCAAGGCAAGGCUUUAUCUUCCUGCCAGAAAACAGUAUGAACUAAAUCCGCAGCGAUUUGUUGCCGUCACCUGAACACCCUCUAGAGGUAGGCAAGGAAGCCCUCAGUUUGAAAAGAGAACAGAUUCAUCCUGGUAACAGCCCAACCUACCAGCAACGCAUGUCUGUAACAGCUCUCCUCUGAAGUUUAUUCAGUGAGCCAUCGCAACAGACCAAACGCAGCAAACACCCUGUGUGCCCACAGAAUGCUGCUCUGCGGCACACACCGCGCUGGGAAGGACGCCGCUUCUCUGCUGGAUGCUAAAUGUAGGUAUUAAGAGACCAGUGGGUCUCACUAACAAACAGCCCAUUUCCAAAAUCAAAAUACAGUGCACUUCUCCUGCCUGACUCUUCUCUAACCUAGUUCAAAAUCUUUUCAACUGCUCAUGUCCUCAUUCAUGCUCAUUUUCAUCUCCGUCAUAACUCACAGAGAUUUGCUUCUUUUCUAUUCAAGACAGAGAAAAAUACAAUUGUACCAAGGAUGACUAAAUGGGAAAAACACAGUCCCAAUUUUGUAAAAUCUAAUUUCUUAAAUAAUGAUUGCCAUUUCAGAUUCAGAAAUGAAUCUUAAUUCAGAAUUGCAUCUGAAAUGUCACAAUCUGCACUUUCUUAAUAAUCUGAAUUUUCAGUUACUAUCUAUUAUAUUAUUUAUGAAUAACUCCUAACGCUGAUGAUAAGAGCAAGCCAAAAAGAAUACCAUAAUCUUUCCCUCGAAGGAGGUAAUUUACACAUGCAGGCAGGCGAAAAAAUACUGGAGAGCAAAAUCACACAAAGGAUUUUUCAAAGAAACUUCUCUUCAACACUUACUGGUGUGAUAUCACACUUCAGUCUGGUAUGGAUACUUCAGCUCCAGUUUUCCCAUUAAUGAACUGCAACCAUAACAACGCUCAAUCUAAUUUUCUUGUAUUUUUAGAGGUCUUUGAUAUUUUAUAGAUGUCAUUAACUCAGCUAUAGUUUCAAGGAGAAAUUCCCUGGACAGGAAUGAGACUGCACUGUAGCAACCAAAUUCCUUCCUGCAGAAAAAGCCCUUGAGAAUUCUAUUUCUCAGCAAGCCAAAGGGUGUUCAGAGGGAUGGGAAUUUCAGAUGUCCCUCCACAGCUCUUCCUCAAAGUGUGCAUGUAGCCAUGUCAGACAUGGGGCUGUACUCUUGGGACUCCAUUUUGUCCCUUCCUCUCAAAUCACCCAUACGUGGUUGUUUCAAGGUUGUUUCAGUUUGGGUUUCACUGGUUAUUCUAUCUGGAUAGGAAAUCAAAUUAAUUAAUAUGCACCUUAUUGUAAAAUAGAAAAAAUACUGAAAGCUACUGCUUUAAGUCUAACUGACCUGAAUAACAAGCCAACAGAUUCCUGUAAUUAUAUGAGCUACCAGAACGCAUGCACAUACACAGACCCCCAUAACACAACAUUUAGCUGGGACAAGUGACCAGAAACACAACCAGGUAGUAAACAAAAUGUUAAUUUUGUAGAAAAAUGCUACUGAUUAUUUCCUCUGGUGUGCACACAGGAUAAUACAACUCAGUAGAAAACAAAGUAAGGAUGAACACCAUGCUUUACCUAUACGUAUAUGUAAUAAACUGAUUCACACUGGUACUUGAGCUUUCUCUCUACAGAAAGCAGAAAAGCAAAAAAAUGUAAAUUAAAAACAUAUUAAUAAUGUAAGAUAAACACACAUUUCCAACUUCACAGUAAUAAUGAGUCAAGUGAAGUAGAUAUAGAUGAAUUAUCUCACACAAUUUUCCCAUCUAGGUAAUGUUUCUUUCCUCUGUACGCUCCCACGAGUGCUCUCACCAUGGCUCUCCCUACAAAUUAUCUCCAGACAGUGAAAUCUCAUGUGGAGGGCCCACGUAUACAUAAUGUAACAGCUUCAACAACUUCUGGAUAGGCCUUCAGCGCUCCAUACAAGAACUUCAAGUGUUUAUAAAGCUUCUGAAGAUAUAAGUCUCUACUAAGAUGAGUUUCACUAUCACCCCUGACUGAGAUUGCUUUUACCAAUGUUCAGUUUGAUCAUUUCCACUAACUGCAAUGUAAGUACAAUUAACUACUAAGAAUACCACUAGAAAGUACACCUAAAAGCAUUUUCAGGAUGAAAAUCAAAACUCCUUCUGAAGCACACUUACAAUUCAGGAUCACCACCUGCCUCCUCCUCACAGCCUACAAGAAUCCCUCAAUGCUCUGGCAAACAGAUUAUCAGUGGAAGCCAAAUCACGAGGCUAGUCAGCAGCCAGGGUGACCUCUGAGGAAGGCUCACUUCUUUCCAGACAGCCUCUCCAAGCAUCAAGUCAAAUUUAUUGCUUCCAAGACUAAAGGGGGAGAGAAAUUGAACAAUUUGAACAAUUUUUGUAUUAUAUAUAAAUUUACAGCACCUGAAGAUGUUAGCAAAGCUGUUCUCCUUUUCUUCUAAACUCUGCUCCCUCUUCAGUCUAUGGAUGUAUUAUGAAUAGGACAUUUUCUUAAGGAGAGAAACAUCCACAAAGAGACGAGCAAUUCAGUAAAUCACUGAUGUGCACCUGUCCUCACUGCAACUAACCGUGGAGUGCACAGGAAGCAUCCUGGAAGCUCCCCAGAAGAACCAACACUUACUUCACAUUACUAAUAAAAGCAGUCAGGUGAGGCCAUGGGCAUGAAAAGUUCUGCCUCCCAGCUGCCCUUCAGGAGAGGCUCUGACACAGCCCUGAGGAGCACCCCAUAGCCGCCAAUACAGCUCUUGCCCACUGCACAGCUACCAGCAGGGAGCUUGCUGCUUCCCUGCACAAGUUGCUGUACGUUCCCUGCCAUCAAUAAGCAUCCUUUUGCAGAAAGCACCAAAGGUCAAGAACACACACUUUUGUAUGGUGGUGGUUUAUAAAACGCACGCACACACGCAAAAAGGACUCUACAGGAACUACUAUCAGCUGCACAGAAACGAGAAAAGAUGCAGAGAUUUGCUUCCUCCAUGUAAGUUUACAGCCCACUUCCAACCUCAGUCAGCACAACCUUCUCAGAUGCAGAGAAGUGCUUUGCAAGCUUCUGAAUUGGCUGUGUGAUGCCCUGGCAGCAAUACAUCUACUCCAGAAAGGGGCCACAUGGAAGGAUGCAGCCCACUCACCAUCCUAGCUCCUGUGCUCACACUGGCUUCACUGAGCCACCACCUGUCGUGCUCUGAGGACACAGCAGUGUCACCACCAAAAGGAUGUGCUUGCUGAUCCAGAACGGUCUCCUGAGAACACUGCCCUGUGUUUCCAAACUCACUGUCAAACAUGAGCAGCCCCGCACCUCCACAACUCACAGAAGUACGUACAACACCAUGUUUUGUCUUCAUUUCCCCCAGAGUCCCUCUCAGGUAGGUCAGGAUCCUCACACGAUGUAUAUUUAGAAAAGGGCCAGCAGUAACUUUUAAGCACAUUCCUGUUAACAGAGCAUGGAAAAGGAAGAUUUGUGCAUUUGCGUUUAAUGGGUACUUCUCAGAUCCCAUGGUUAUGGAUGAGCUUCAGACAUACAAAGCAGUUAAAUUUAAUGCACUAGAAGAAGUUAGAUGCUAUUUCUGACUGAAUGAUCUCAAAAGGGGCGUGUGCUGAUGCUCUCAUCUGAGACCCAACAUUGUUUUUCUCUCAAAGCAGAAGGAUUUUACUUUCUUGGUUUUGUCACAUUUGACUUGUCACCAGUAUGUUGACAUUUGAUAUAAUGAAAUUAAAAUAAUUAAAACUCUACAAGAGUUCCUGAAAGGCUUAAUGUUUUCCCCUCUUUUAAGGAGGGAGCCUCAAAGCAAGGAGGUAGCCAAGAUAAACAGGAAUAUAUUGCUUAAAUCAAGAAGUGAGCAGGUACAGAACUUCCUUUCUUCAUUACUCCUAAUCAGUUUAAGAGCAUGAUUCAUUUGUUAAACUUCAUUUGAUAUAAGUUGUGGAGAAAAAAUUGAAUUACCCACUGAAGGCACAACAGAAUAAUUAAAGGAAGUAGGUAUUCAGUGCCUUUGAAAAUCCAUCUCUCCUCGAGAAAAUGCUUAUGUACCCAUAUUUGUGUCCAUCUCCGUAAAGGAAAACAUGCACGUUUAUGCCUGAAGAUCUUCUUGGAUGAAGGCCAAGAGAGAAAUUCAGGUACGUGUAGCUGAGGACUGUGCCCUCCUCUGAAUCACCAGGCCCAACCACACAUACUAACAAGUACUCCCAUGUUCUCUCAAGUAGAAUGCAGUGCCUAAGACUACACACUUCAGUGCCCAAAGUGAUGAAUGUUUUGCUGAGCUUCCUGUAACGCAAUUACACUGCAACUCAGACAGCUAACAAAAGAUAAAUCUGCUGUUACACGGAAAAUUGAACACACUUCUUGAUCAAGUACAGAUGAACUGUAAGACAGCCUUUGAACUUUUAAUUGAUAUAUAAAAGGAAUUCUACUUUGACAUAAGCAUAGCAACUGCUUAAUAAUACUUUGCAAUUGAUAAAACCACACAGUUGAUGAAUUUUCUGCCUUAACUGAGCUGCAGUGGCAAUCCCUUGGGCAAUCAGUCUGCUCUCUUACAGGAAACCUGCAAAUCAAACUCUCAGUAAUAUCUCUCAGAAAACAGAAAGGGAAGAUAAUACACAAGUUUUCCCCAGUUCAGCGUAGUCUACAUAAUACAUAGACAAAAGCAAACCUCAGUAUAUCAGCAUUAAAAAUAAGAAUGCAUGCUCUGUUGUGUGAAUGGUUUGCAAAGGGAAAGAGCAAGACUUACUUACACACAAAAACAUCUGCCUUAUUAGGAAGAAUGCAGCAAAUAACAGCAAUUCUGUUUACAUGUGAAAGAUUUUUCAUUACAUAGUAUAUUUUUUGUGUCCUACUCCUUCUUAUUUUACCUGCAUGAAGGAGACCCAGUUUUCCUUCAACUGAAAUCUGUGGCAAAUAUCAUGAAUUUUCAUCAGACUUAAAAUUUAGAGUAAUAGAAAUACGACCAUACAAAACAGAUGGACAUUAGGUUUUGUCUGUGAGCUAUUAAGAAACAACAAGCACUGAGUUUUCAGUGUUAGAAGUUUACAUUAUCUAGGAAUAAAUACUUUUAUUUUCCCCGUGUAACUCUCUUUUUCCCCUUAAACAUUAAUAAAAUUACAGAACCUGUUUUUCCAUUCUACUAGAGCUAUCAAAAAAGUUUCCCUUCAUUUUCAUGAGUACUGAUAAAUAUAUUAAUGAUGAUUAUUCUAAUGAAUAGUGAAUGAAUUAUUAAAGAUGGAAUGACCUUUGGUAUUCCAUUUGGUUGAUGCUAGAAGUUAAUUACAAUUAUAGAUUUUUUUUUUUAAACUCAGUUCUACUUUUAUCUGAUUCAAGAAACUUAAAUCAUCACAAACAACAGUAUAAUAGUGUAAAUAGCCAUUAAAAAUACAGUCAAAUUUGGAGGACUGGAAGCUCAUCACAACUGCCCAACUAUAUAAAAUGAAAAUAAAUGUCAUGAUAAAGUCAAAUACUGCAGAAACUUGAAAACUAUUAAAGAGAAAAGGUCCCUAGCUCAUGAAGCCACCACCUAGAACUGUCACACAGUUUCUCACAGGCAAUUAAAAUCUUCCUAAAAUCUUCCUGGCAGUCUCUAAAGCAACUACUCCUCUUAGACAGCAUAUACUUAAUGCCACAUAGCGUAUUUGUAGAUUACCCUGCCCCUGGCCAAAGCCUAUAAAUCCAAGCAAUAUUUCUCACCAUGUGAGGCCACAGAAAGUUCAUCAAGUCUUCACCUCAUGCAAGAUACUCAAUAAACAAGACAAGAAAAGCCACUUUCAAGACUGAUACAGAAAGAAAAACAUAUAAAAGGUAGGACUGUUACCCCCCCAACACAAUACUACAUGGAAGUUUAUAAAAUGAGGGGGCAAAUUACAACCAUAAAGAAAUGUCUAACUCACAUCAAGAGUACAGCAGGAGAAGAGAUGGAGAAGACUCCACUCAGGCUGUACAUUUAUUUAAAACCACUGAAGGCAAGUACUAAUGUAUUACACGAUCUGUCUCAAUAACCACAUACUCAACUCAAUCUCAUUUGAGAAAUAAACAUCAGGACAGAAGAAAGUCCACGUGUAUAAGCUUCUACCCCAGCCCCAGCCCUGGUGACUUACUAAAAGUAAAUCUUUUGUGCUCUUAUUUCUAGAGAGUUGAGGAACGGUUUUGAUUUUUAUGGCAAAACAGUAUUUCUCCUGGACCACUGCUGUUAAGUCAGAAGAGAAGGUGAGUACAAAUGAGGGAACUGGAGAAAUCAAGCCUGAAGAGUAAAAUGUCAAACAAUAUUUUGGUAAGGUAAGUGAAAACCACUUCUUACGCACAUCACGUGAUAGACAUUGCCAAUCCUGAAGAUCCUCACACGGGCAACAGUUCUCUCACAAAGACUGAACAAGUAGAGAAGUUAUGUAUUAUGCAGUGCCCACAACAGAGUUCCAAGAGAGGACUGCGCUUGUGAACAGUGGUAAGAAGCCACGGGAAUGAAGCCUUGCUGACCAUUUUAUCUUCUCUAAUGAUCACAGAGAAAGCACAAAGAGCUUUGAAGACUGAUGUAUAUGUGUUGUUAGAGUACUGGUGAGAUGCACUGCAAAAGAGCAUACAGGAAGUGAACAUAAAAACCUAGGAAGUCCAAUUAAGAGAAGAGUAGAGCUCUGCAUCUGGUGCAGUGAAAGAAAAAAAAAAAAAA